UGGGGAAUAUUGCACAAUGGGGGAAACCCUGAUGCAGCGACGCCGCGUGAACGAAGAAGGUAUUCGUAUCGUAAAGUUCUGUCCUAUGGGAAGAUAAUGACAGUACCAUAGAAGAAAGCUCCGGCUAAAUACGUGCCAGCAGCCGCGGUAAUACGUAUGGAGCGAGCGUUGUCCGGAAUUAUUGGGCGUAAAGGGUACGCAGGCGGUUUAAUAAGUCGAAUGUUAAAGAUCGGGGCUCAACCCCGCAAAGCAUUGGAAACUGAUAAACUUGAGUAGUGGAGAGGAAAGUGGAAUUCCUAGUGUAGUGGUGAAAUACGUAGAUAUUAGGAGGAAUACCAGUAGCGAAGGCGACUUUCUGGGCACAAACUGACGCUGAGGUACGAAAGCGUGGGGAGCAAACAGG
rnacentral:rRNA from 1 species